GAUGAACGCUAGCGAUAGGCCUAACACAUGCAAGUCGAGGGGCAUCACAUGAGGCAGCAAUGCCGAUGGUGGCGACCGGCGCACGGGUGAGUAACACGUAUGCAACCUGCCUUCAACAAGGGGAUAACCCGUUGAAAAACGGACUAAUACCCUAUAAUACAGGGGUCCCGCAUGGGGAUAUUUGUUAAAGAUUGAUCGGUUGAAGAUGGGCAUGCGUUCCAUUAGCUGGUUGGUGAGGUAACGGCUCACCAAGGCAACGAUGGAUAGGGGAACUGAGAGGUUUAUCCCCCACACUGGUACUGAGACACGGACCAGACUCCUACGGGAGGCAGCAGUGAGGAAUAUUGGUCAAUGGACGCAAGUCUGAACCAGCCACGUCGCGUGAAGGAAGACGGCCCUACGGGUUGUAAACUUCUUUUGUAAGGGAAUAAAGUGUAGUACGCGUACUAUUUUGCAUGUACCUUACGAUAAGGAUCGGCUAACUCCGUGCCAGCAGCCG
rnacentral:rRNA from 1 species